AUUUUACAUUCCAAUUAAUCUCCCCACCCCCAUGACUUCCCCCAACUUCCCUUUCUGAGUAAUAGCAUAUAAAUUUCUACUGCUUAUAAUUUCAUACACCUUAUAUACUGAAAAUUAAAAUUAUAGCUUAUAACACUCCCUAUUCCUUCCUAGCGCAUUCUUCCUUGGCAAAGCGGGCUCUUUAGGCACAGCCUCCAGCGCCUGCCUGGGCCCUGGGCAGGGUUCUGCUCGUUCCUUCGCUCACCCCGGGAGGUAUCUGGGCAGCCUGGCCUGCUAAGCCUUACCCUUCGCCCUCCUGUCAUUGGGUAGUGGCCAAGGUGGCCCCACCAUGAGGGGUGUUGGUUGAGCGGGCAGGGCGGCAGAAGGAGGUGUUUGGAAGCUCCCGGACUGGCGGUUAGUCUCUUGCCUGCGCGUGGUGGGUGUGGUGGCUUUGGGUGGGCUUGCGCGCCUUCGCCAGCAUUUGGAGGCCAUCAGCUGCGGAUGAGUUGUGCCUCUGUGUGCAACAAAGAGGAGAAGAGAAGUUCUCCUUUAGAAGGCAGAACAGGCAAGAGCUGUCACUAUCACCUCAAUUCCACCGCGUCUCCCAGGGGGCCAAGAUGCAAGGAAGGGGCUUCCUUCUCCAUGCAAGGGCCACCCAUGUAUUCAGAGCAGUCCUUUGCAAAUUACUGUCUUUCUCCGUGUAUAAGAUGAGGUUUUUUGCCCAAUUUUUAAAGUUAAAAAACAUGGCUCGUCUUAUACAUGGAAUAUAGCAAUUAAAUAUAUAAAUAAAUGCAAUCCUUGCUCUGGCAGUCGCAGCUCCUCGCAGUGGCGAGCCCUGGGGCCUCCAUAGUCUGCUUGCCUCCCCCCACUCUGCCCGCCCUACAGCUGGGAGGGAGGCUGUAGGCUGUUGGUUUUUGCCGUGCAGCGUCUUUGUGCUGCUCAGCAAACUCUGCAAACUAAUGGGGAAGUCCGCCUGCAAAACAAAGCUGCUGAUCAAAGAUAUUUCUCCCCUCUAUGCCUUUCCUGCGCCUUUCCCGUGAAACAUCUUGGAGGCUACAAAUUUCUGCACUGCUCCUCUUGCAUAACGUUGCACCGCCCGCCUGCUAUUCCGUAGCCUCCUCUACCCAUGCAGACUCUGUAAAUGAAGGGGGAAGGGGAGGAGGCCACCUGCAAAGCGGAGCUGCCGAUCAAGGUGAGGAAGACGAUGGUCAGAAUUCUACGGAGCCAUCUGUGAAUUCAUUGGGAAGAACAAAGAAACAGUUUAAAUGCAAGGAAUGUGGAAUGUGCUUUAGACCAACAAACUCACACAAGAGAGAAUCCAUGUAAAUACAUGGAGUGUGAAAAGAACUUCAGUGAAAGUAGAGACCUUAGAAUACAUCAACAAAAUCACAAUGGG